rnacentral:lncRNA from 1 species
AAGAGCUUGCAUAAUAGUCACUUUUUUUUUUUUUAAACCAGAACUCAGUUCCUAGGUUAUACAGGAUGCUGGCUAUGAGGGAAGGCUCUGUCCUCAGUGACCUUCAAUCUAGCCUGUUAGUCUCUGACAUUAGCUUCAGACUCUAGAUUUUAAACCUUCUCUUGGUUUCAGUCUGGAGAUUUUUUUUUUAAGUUUGUCCUUGGAGCCUUUUGGUCUUCUACUUGCAGAGCUUUUCUGACUUGUUCUCUCACCAUUCAGCAUACGCACAAGUACAUGUUUGUUAGUCUCCUGGAAACUUUCCCAUAGUACUUCUUCCACGAUGAUCUUUGCAAGUGCUCCCCUGCAAACACUUUCAGGAACCCUGAAUGCCAUUGUGCCAACUAAGCCUCCUUCCUGUGCCGGUCGGUCCCAGCUGUCAUGAGGUAGAAGUCACCGGGAACACAUGAGUCUCUGGCUUUUAGCUUGAAGCCCUGAGCUUCCCCGGGCCACCGUCUGUUCUGUCCCCUGCACUGUUGGAGCUGCCUGCCUUGUCAUCCUGGAAGGGGCCUUUCUCUCCUUUUCAGAUCUCCAGAAGUUUCUCUGACUAUGUUCUUCUUCUGACUGACCCCUGCGCUCAGUCUCAUGUGUGCGAGUCUGUUCAGGCAUGUACCAGAACACCGUCUCCGUUCCAGAUACUCCGGUACAUCUGAGACAUCUGAGGUCUGGGCCGAGCCCAGCCAAGCAGAGGAUAUGGACACAAGAGGAACAUCUGAGAAUACAGAUUACAACAUGCGACAAGGACAUUUUGGAUAGAACACACUGUGGAUAUGGGGCUAAGGGGACCAACUUUUAGAUGUAGAGACCCACAAUGCCCACCAUGUCUGCUUAUCAGUGGCGUCUGACUUGAUUCCAAGCUAUUAAAGGGGAGGGUGUCCUUUCUUCUGUGUCUUCUUCAUCCCCCUAUAAAAGAUGAGUUUGUGUUUGUGUUAAAGUGACACUCAAAACAAAUGAACUCUGGGGAGGAAUUCAGACUUCAAAUAAGGGCGUCCUGUUUAUUCAUGUAAGUGUGCAUGUGGUACUGAGAGAGCAUGCCCGGAGAGUUGGUUCUCUGUGGAUGAGCAGAGAACGACCAGUCACUGAGUCCUGUAUAGACUCUACAUCAGAGUGUCACCACACAAUGCAUAAAAUAAAAAGUGUUCAAUUCUACACUUCUUACAGUUUUACCAGAUAUGUAAAUGCAUUGUUAGAAUGGCAUCCUAGAUUAGCAGAGAGAUUUCAAAAGUUUGAUACUAGGAUAGUGGUUUUAAGGCCAGAUUGCUGUUGCAGUCUAGAAGAUUAAAUACAAAAGUACAAAUACUGUGUUUUCUUCUAAACCCAGUGGAAGAGCAUCAGGGUGGAAGUUGUAGACUCACAGGAGGCCUGGUGAUGUCAGGAUGGCUGAAACUCUGCUUGCAGGGGGUGGCAUCCCAGAGAGGCUGGUACUCCAGUAGAGAUAGGCAGUUUAUUUAGAUCUGUGUGGUUUUGAACACUAGGUGAAGUGGACCGUUGGCCGGCAGAGCAGAAUUCCUGCUCAGGGAGUGUGAGGCAGCUGUAGGAGCAGCCCGCAUCUGUCACAAUGGGCCAGGUGUGAACUUUAACUUGUAUACUCUGUGCAUACAUGAUUUUUCUAAAAGCAUGGAUGAGAAUGCAGAAAAGGCAGGCUCCCUUUGCAGUGUUGGUUUUAGAGUCACAGCAUAUACUUGAGGCCACAUUCUCAGAUGCUAUCACAUGGAAAAAGAGUUCUUCACAUCACCUUGCACACGAUCAUUUAGUUAAGCGGACAGACUUGACUAAACAUAUUCUUUAAGAAGGAAACGUGGGUACUUUUAAAACAAGCCUCUUUUCGAGAUCUCUGGUUUUUUUAGACUUAUUGUGGCUUGUUCUCUUCUCUUGUUCUUACCUAUAUGGAACAUCAAAUUGUCUUUUUUCUAGCAUAUGUUACAUUGAAAUAUUUUACACAGUGCAUAUUUAGCACUUUGGCAAGUAGACAGUUUAGGUGCUACUUAUUUCAAAUUAUUGCCAUUAAUUGCCUAUUAGCAAUUUUUUAGAUAUAUUCGUUUUAGUUUAUGUGUGAAUGUUUUGCUUGCAUGUGUGUCUGUGCACCACAUAUGCACUGUGAAGGGAACCCUAGAACUGGAGUUAUGUUUGCUUGUGAACUACUGCAUAGGUACUGGGAAUCAAACAGGAUCUUUUGCAAGAGCAACACCUGUUUUUUUGUUUUGUUUUGUUUUGUUUUCCAGAGCUGAGGACUGAACCCAGGGCCUUGCACUUGCUAGGCAAGCACUCUACCACUGAGCUAAAUCCCCACCCUGCAACACCUGUUCCUAACCGUGGAGCUGUCUCUCCAGCCCACAGGCCUGUCCUUAAGAUGUUGCCAGUUACUGAGUUUUUUAGGAACUGUCUCACUGUAUUUGGGGCUAAACCCAGGGUGUCCCCACACUACUUCUGCACUCUCCCCUGCAUCAGUGUUGGCAGUUUUGUUCAUUUGUAGUGUGGGGAUAAUUUUUACUGCUAUUCAAAUGGGUAGGCAGUUCCAAGGCCAUUAGAGUUGUGUGUGUAGUCCCAGCUGCUUGUGAGGUCGAGGCAGGAGAAUCACGGAGUCCAGGUGGCAUUUGAGCAACGUAGCAAAACUGGUUUUCAAAAAGG